UCAACAAUUUUUCUAUUUUGCUUUUUUCUCUUUGUUCAACUGUCAUUAGUUCUUUAAUCAAGUCAUCCUGAAGUUUAUCAAGGUGGUGAUUAACGAUUUGUAUCCUGGUUUGUUUUAUUGCUGCUUCAAUUUCUCUUUUCUUGUUUUCUAUAGAUUUUAAAUUUUCAUUCCUGUUUGUGCUUAGUCGUUUAAUAUUCUCGACGACUUCCUGCAGGGUUUGUUCGAUUUCAUUAAAUGCGUUUGAAGUUUUUACGUUUUUUAUGAGUUCAUUUAUGUCAGUUAAACCUUUACAAUCGUUGUGAGAUUUCACACAUUUCUUACAGCAAGGACAAUCGUGUUUUGCACAAAACAGCUCGUAUUUCUCAUUAUGAAGUUUGCAGGUCUGAGAGAUUUGCAGGACUUCGGUGGGUAAGUUUUUGUAUUUGGCGAUAGAAACGGUUUCAUGGUUUUUUGAUGCCUUGGAAACUGCAUGAUGUUUCUUACACUCUCCACAAAGUCCUUCGUCACAUUCGGAACACCAUACUACUGAAGGUUUGGUAAUCUGAAGGUUUUCACAAAUACCACAAAUACCCCAAUUGGUGGCCAUAAUCCUAAAAUAGAUUGCAUGUACUUACAUGAAUACUGUUGUGUUUUUU
rnacentral:lncRNA from 1 species